rnacentral:rRNA from 1 species
AGUUUGAUCCUGGCUCAGGAUGAACGCUAGCGGGAGGCUUAACACAUGCAAGUCGAGGGGUAUCAGUAGCAAUAUUGAGAGACCGGCGCACGGGUGAGUAACGCGUAUGCAACCUGCCCUUUACUGGGGGAUAGCCCGUAGAAAUGCGGAUUAAUACCCCAUAGUCCCCGGUUGUCGCAUGGCGACCGGGAUAAAGCCGAGGUGAUAAAUGAUGGGCAUGCGUGACAUUAGCUUGUUGGUGGGGUAACGGCCCACCAAGGCUGCGAUGUCUAGGGGUUCUGAGAGGAAGAUCCCCCACACUGGUACUGAGACACGGUCCAGACUCCUACGGGAGGCAGCAGUGAGGAAUAUUGGUCAAUGGGCGGGAGCCUGAACCAGCCAUCCCGCGUGCAGGAAGAAUGCCCUAUGGGUUGUAAACUGCUUUUUCGCAUGAAGAACAUCCCGGACGUGCCCGGGACUGACGGUAAUGCGUGAAUAAGCACCGGCUAACUCCGUGCCAGCAGCCGCGGUAAUACGGAGGGUGCAAGCGUUAUCCGGAUUUAUUGGGUUUAA